GAGCCUGGCAGGGUGUGGUCCAUGGAGUCCCAGAGAGUUGGACACGACUGAAGGGACUCAGCACUCACAAAACCAUACACCUUAUUUUAUGCUUGUUAAAAUGAUAUAAAUGCAAUCUUUUAAAAAUAAUAUCUUGAUAUCAUCAAAAUUUGCUGCCAUGUGUUGCAUAUAAACAAUUUUUGUAUACUGAUCUCAAAGCCAGUGACUUUCACCAUAAUAGCUAACGUUCACAUAGUCCUCACUAUGAGCCAGACACUGCUCAAGGCAUUUUGUAUGUAUGGAAUGCACUCAGUCUCCCGAUGACUCUGUGAAGCAAGUUUUAUUAUUAUAACCUUUUAUAGAUGAGGGAACUGAAGAGCAGAGAGGUUAAGUAAACGGUCUAAGAUCCUAAGUGGUGAAGCCAGAGUUCAAACUCAUCCAAUAUCCAAAGCUAUAACCAAACCUAUAUUUGUUGUGGUUAUAACUAUAUUUAUAGCUAUAUAUAUAUAACUAUGUAACUAUAUUUGUCUCUUAUCGUUGUUAAGCUCUUUCAUCAGCUCUAAUAAUUUUCUAGUUAACUCGUGGGAAACUCUUCGGUUUCCCGUGCAAGCAAGAACAACACAUACUUCAAACAUCAACUAGCAAACAUAUGGUUAACGCCCUAUUAAAGCAGGACAAGGUGUGGGGCUGUGUGCGGCUGUGUGUAUAUCUCUCUGUGCGUGUGUUUCUGUGUGUGUGUGUGUGUAUCUGGAAACGCUAGGAGGAGGAACGCUAUGAAGAGCAGCAUUCUCAAAGCUAGUGGAAUUCGCCGAGGCCUUGGGGUGGCCGGUAUACUUUCCGAGGGCCCAGGAAUUUCUGGCAUGGCAGCAACUAGCUGCGUAGGGGCAUCCUCAGAGAGGCCUGCAGGCUCCAGGGAGGCCUGAAAAGGGAAAGGCCCAGGGCCAAGCCCAACAGAGUGUGUCAAAUGACAGGCCUGCUCCUUCCCCACCCUCCACCCCCAGAUCUGGGCUGAAUCAAAGGGCCAUUCAGGCCCCUCCCUUUCACAGACUGAGGCCACUGCGGCUGUCCCCUGAGGCUGAAACGCAGCAAUCCCACGGGCUUCUGCUCCGAACAGGCUUGUGUUUGAAGCCACAAUCUACUUGGCUCCGGCUUUAUACACAUUACUUUCCUGGUGCUGAAAAAAAAAAAGAAUUAGAAGAAUGAAAGUGAGAGGCUUUGAGGGAUGGGAAUUCUUUUUUCCAGUCUAGUGAAUGAGGUUAAUAAGUAGAAAAAUAAAACUACUCUCCGUGAAGGGUCUUUGGAAGGGUUACCAGGCCAUGAUAAUUAAAAGCAAAUUAAAAGGCUAUAUCAUUCAUUCAGCCCCAGUCGCCUCUCUCAGCCCUGAGGGAACCGAGUGUACUUCAGGGCAGAGAGAGGGGGAAGUGGGGGGUUGGAGGGGGUUGACGGGGGGAAGGACUGGCUUCCUCAGCCAUGUGGGGUGGUAGCAUUUAAGGAGAGGAGGGACAGCCACCUCUGUAGCCAUCUGCAGUAUCUCACCCAAGUGAGUGAGUGAAAGUUGCUCAGUCAUGUCCUACUCUUUGCGACCCCACGGACUAUACAGUCCAUAGAAUUCUCCAGGCCAGAAUACUGGAGUGGGUAGCCUUUCCCUUCUCCAAAUGUGAGGUCAAUUAGGGAAGUGACUGACUGAUAAUCCCCUUCAGACCCCACUGCACAUUGGACACUUGCUCACACAUUUCAAAGGAAUAUUUUCUAGUGCUUUGCCUACUGUAAAAAAAUAAAAACCCAAACUAGCCUUGGGUGUGAGUCAUCUACCACGAGUCCCUUGUAUCUCUCUGGUUCUCAGUUUCCUUUCUGUAAAAUGAAGAUGACAAACUUGAUCAUUUUCAAACAGGGGUCUCCUGAGUCCUCUUGGAAACCUGGCCUGGAGGAGGAGGGGGAAGAGAGUGAUGAAUCAAGCCAUUAGCCCGUGUCUGAUUCCGCCAUCUUUGACCUCAGACCAUUUUCAGAAUAAGCUGGUGGAGCAAUUAAUUCUGACAGGACCAUUUCUAUGACCUACUGACUCUGUCAACUAUUCCAGGUAACCCCAGAGAUCAGAGCUGCCGCCUCUGCCCUGGUUUGGUCCACGCUGCCACCUUGAAGAAGGUGUGGGAGUUUUCUGCCAGCAUCGUAUCUUUCUCAAGGAGACUAGGAAAGACUUGUGAUGACCCAGGAGGGUGGUGUGUGACCACAGGUUCUGUGCUAGUGGCUCUAGGAAGUAGCCCUGAGGCCUGGGUUGAAGUCAGAUCCCACGGAGCUACAUCUGUAUUUUCACAGACUCAGAAAUAUAUAAUACAGAAGGAGAAAUGGAAGUCCUUAAGGCCUUUCCAGAGAGGUUACAGAGACGAAGAAUAACACAUAAUGCUUUUCUUCCUGGAAGAGAGAACUCUGGCAGAGUCACCAAGUUACCUGCCAAAAAACUACGUUCAUUAGUUUCCUACGAAUGCCAUAGCAGAGAGCCAUGCCCUGGCUGACUUCAAAAACAGGUGCUCCUUGCUUCACGGUUCUGGAGGUCCGGAUGUCUGAGAUCAAGGUGUCUGCAGGGUCCCAUCUGUGGGCUGUGAGGGAAACUGUUCCGUGCCUCUCUCAGCUGCUGGUGCUUCGCCAUCAGUCUUGGGCAUUCCUCGGCUUGCAGGAGCAUCACCCAGCCUCUGCCUUCUUCAUCACGUGGGCGCAGAGCUGUUCUACAUUUUCCAGCCUCCCUUGCAGUUUCUUGGUUGCUAAGUAUUGGCGGUGAAGUAACUGAAUUCUAGCUGAAGAAAUGUGCUUGGGUGUGAUGUGUGCACUUCCAAGUCUGACCGAAGACCUCUGCGCUCUCUCCCCAACUGCUGGCCUGAUGCAGAUCGUAUGUGGCGGCUUGAAGUCACAUAUUAAAGCUGGUGAAACCACAUGAUGGAAGGAGGGUAGGUUCCUGAAUCCCUGCUUGGAGGAAAGCCAGCUGCUCAGCAGACUUUUGUGCAACUUUAGAUUGUACACGAGGAAGAAAUAAACUUU